CCGCCAGAGAACUACUAGUGAAAAACUUAAAACUCAAAGGACUUGGCGGUGUCCCAUUCGGCCUAGAGGAGCCUGUCUUAUAAUCGACACUCCCCGUUCCACCCAACCUCCACUUGCACAUUCAGCCUAUAUACCGCCGUCGACAGUCUACCCCAUGAGGGUCUUUUAGUAGACACAAUAGCAAUUAUUCGCUAACACGUCAGGUCAAGGUGUAGCAAAUGUUGAGGUAAAGAUUGGCUACAUUUUUUAUUUCAAAACAAACGAAAUGCAACAUGAAACAUUGCACGAAGGUGAAUUUAGUAGUAAAAU
rnacentral:rRNA from 1 species